AGUCACUGACAUUAGAUACCCGCGUAGUCCCAGCCGUAAACAAUGUGCGUUAGGUAUGUCGGUAACCACGUGUUACUGAUGUGCCGAAGAGAAAUCGUGAAACGCACCACCUGGGAAGUACGGUCGCAAGGCUGAAACUUAAAGGAAUUGGCGGGGAGCACCACAACAGGUGGAGCCUGCGGUUUAAUUGGACUCAACGCCGGGAAGCUCACCGGAUAGGACAGCAGAAUGAUUGCCGGGCUGAAGACCCUGCAUGACUAGCUG
rnacentral:rRNA from 1 species